GCCUCUUUAGCUCAGUGGCAGAGCACUGGUCUUGUAAACCAGGGGCCGUGAGUUCAAUUCUCACAAGAGGCA
rfam:Drosophila persimilis strain MSH-3 cont1.001846, whole genome shotgun sequence.